AUUGACAGCCAUAUCACCCUGCAGCCCAAGGCUGGUUGCUAAGCAGGGUUGAGCCUGGUCAGUACCUGGAUGGAGACCUCCUGGGAAAACUAGGUUGCUGUUGGAA
rnacentral:rRNA from 1 species